GCUUACGGCCAUACCAGCCUGGGUACACCCGAUCUCGUCUGAUCUCGGAAGCUAAGCAGGGUCGGGCCUGGUUAGUACUUGGAUGGGAGACCGCCUGGGAAUACCAGGUGCUGUAAGCA
rnacentral:rRNA from 1 species